rnacentral:tRNA from 1 species
CUCCCUGUGGCUCAGUUGGUAGAGCAUGGUGUGUGCAACACCAGGGUUGUGGGUUUGAUUCCCACGGGGGGC